UUCCAUACGGAGUGACAGCAUAGGUGCGUAUAUUGUUCUCAUGAUCCUAGCCUGCUCACCUGAACUUCAUAAUGACCUUUAUCCCAGAUUUUCUUGUUCUAUGACUGAAGCCAGGUUAGGGUGGGGCUCUGUCUGCAUUAUUCUGAAUACAGUGGCAUGGGGAAGCUGGAAAAUACCCACUGUGCUUAAUAACUACAUUUGUAAUAGGUACAUUUAGGAAAACAGUACUCAACGGAUUUUUUUUUUUUUUAAGGCGAGUUGAAUUUCUCCAUCUACUGAUUAAGCUGGAGUUUGUGUGUGUAUCUCUGUUGUUACUUCUGGUAGGUAAAAGGAUUCUUAAAAGAAUACUGGAUCUUUUUCUGAAUCAUUUGAACAAAUGUAGGACUAAGGAGUAUGUAGUAUCCAAAGAGUAAUUAUAAUUAUAUCAGUAAUUACAUAUAUCUAAAGAGUAAGUAUAAUUACAUUAACAGUAAACAACUUUGUUAUAAUUUUUGAUUCUUAUAAAGUAUAUUAUUACUAUGAAAUAUUAUUUAGUCAUUAAUAGCUAUGCAUUUAAAGCAUAUAUGGUAACAUGAGGGAAAAUUUUGUAAUAGUCAAUAAAAAAAGCCAACUCAAAUUUAAAUUGUUUGAGUCAUGUUGUUUUUGGUGGCCAAUAUUAUUGACCCGGUUCAGAUAAAAGGGCCUUUACUUUAAGUGUAUUUCGGGUGUCUUAUGAGAAUCAAAGCAUAUUUGUCAAUCACAAGCCAGGCAUGCUUAAAGCCCUGAACUCUGGGAGGCUGAGGCAGAAAGAUCACAACUUGGAGCCCAGCCCAAUCAACCUAGCAGCUUAGCAAGACCCUGUCAUAAUAAAAAAUAAAACGCUGUCUCAGAACAAGACAAAAAAAGUCUGAUAAAAGUGAAAAAAAACCAGGUUUCAAAUCGCCAGUGUCCAGACCCCCUAAAAGAAGCCAAUGGCGCGCCUCUUAGGGAUUGAAUCAGGAGCAUGACUGCACAUGAGGCUCCUCGCUCAGCACACUAGGGUUCCUUCUUGAGCCUUUUACCCGCAUGCCUGCUUCGUAUCUCUGCCUCUCCCACACCAACUUCCUUUCCUUACACAUAGCUUUUAUUAUCUCUUAACUUCACCCUGUACAUAGUUCAAAAUGUCCCUCUAGCUUCUGUUACAACUUUCAUCUUCUCUUCUCAGCCCGAUUAAUAACUGAUUUUAUCUUUCAGCCUCCCAGUUCUAGUUCCCUAAACAAAUUGGUCCAGUUUAUCUUUUUUGCUUUAGUCUAGAACUCCUAUCCUAUGUUCUUAGUCUAAGAAAAGACUACUCUUGAGUCCACCCUCCAGGAGAGGUGAAGUCAGCCUGGCCCCAGCUAUGCACAGGCAGGAGGAACCAUAAUAGCCUGACGUCACAAGUGUGCCUGUUACUUAAAUAUUAAGUGUAAAUAUGUAUAGAUAAAAACAGGAAAAUAAACUGCAAUAUCAACAGCAGUUGUUCUUGCUAGGGAUAGUACAAAGAUUUACUUCAUUUGGCCUAGUUUUUCUUCAGUGAACACAUAGUAUUUCAUAAUCACAAACAUAAACUUCAAAAUACUCCCUGAUUUUUUUUAAAUGGCAGGUUUGAAAGAGACCUCAACGUGAUGCAAUUCUGCACCGCCUUGAUUUACAAAUGUUGAAACAGGCCCACGUAGAUUAAGUGACUUGUCCAAAGUCACAGAGCGGGGGGGAGUGGCCAAACUCUUGAGUUUCCAGCCUCUUAGUCCUGAGUCACACGGAACAGUGCCUUGCUCAACACAGGGAGAUCUCGACUCUGCCUGCAAGUCAGAGCCUGCCCGGUGCAGCUCUCUGAGGCCCCAAUCUAACUACAAACUGUGUUCUAAAUCUUUUGGACUUGGAAGUUUAUUCAAAUAAUACACUGUUGACUUGAAACAGAAUUUUAAUCCCUGGGCCUCAUUAAACCAUCAUUUCGGUACAAGCUGCGCUUCAGUAAGGGCUCUUCUGUUACGCACACCAAAUUGUGAGCUCUGCUUCGUUUUCACUAUUGACAGCAGCGAAGCAUGGGAGGGAGGGAAUUUCCAGAUGCAAAGUGUAAUUCCACCCUGUACUGUCUGUCUCUUUCCUUGGCUUCUUUCCCUCCGGUGUGUUUCCUCUUGAUGGAUUACAUAGUCUCACAGAAGGGAAAAAGAAAAAAAUGCAAGUCCGUUGUACUACUCGUGUCGUUCAGUUCGUUAAAAAGGAAGGUUUGUGCUAAUAUUGAUUGGAGAAAGUUUUAUGUCCAUAUCUUAUACCCCGAGCAUCUACUUUAAAGAUAACAAUAUGUGAUGUAUUAACUGUUAUUCUCUUAUAUUUUGUUAUGAAGUUUUGUAUUACCUUUUUUCCAUAAGAAAAAAAAAGAAGAGAGCAGAGUCUUUUGGGGUGAGAGUAAGGUAGGGGGAGUGGGGAGCAUAAAAUCGGGUUUACACAAUGGGAGGGAAGGAAAGAAGUCAGAAGUCUCUUAAGGUUUCAUUCUAGGGACUGGGGACUUAGCUCGGUGGUAUAAGCGCCUGCCUGGCAAGUGCAAGGUUGUGAGUUGGAUCUGUGGCACCAGGGGAAAAAAAAGAUUUUAUUCUAAAGCAGACUUCAAGCAUCCCUGACAGGAAAAGGAUCCUGCAUAGUUGGACACUGGCUCCUGCUUUACCUGAAGGAAAGAAAAUCAAGCAGAUUUAGUCAGUUCCAGGUACCAAAAUGCAGAGAUAACCCUGGCUCUGAGGUACUUACUGUGCAAACUCCCGCUGUGGGGAGAGAUAGGAGUCCUUGGGCUUGGUUUCCUGUUUAUUUAGUAUUUAUGUCACAUUGGCUUAGAAGAACAUGAGGUAAUGUAGAAAAGACUCAGUUCCUUAGGGUUCAGUCAUAUUGGGGAACAGAACCCAGGAUAUACAGGAUAAUAUGAUCUUAAUGCUGAAAUGAUCUUCUCUUUUUUAAUUUAACAUUCUCCAUCUUGUGAGAUGCUUUGAAGUCUUUAGAUGAAUAUUGCUUAUGUGUAUCUCGAUAGACUAAAGCAUUUUUAAUGCUUUAAUAACUUCCAGGUGAACCCCUUUUAUGUAGGCCAGUUAAGAAAAAGGAUUUUAUUACACAUUCUUUUUUAAAUGUAAUAGAAAACAAGCAAGUGUGCGUGUGUGCCCACAAUCUUCCUCUGUGCUGCUGUCUUUGAAUAUCUAGCAGGUUUAUUCAAUGCUUACACUUCAGAUAUCUUUUUAGCUUAUUAGUUGAGCUGGUGAAAGUUAAGUUCAGAAGAAAUCUAAGAUAAUUAGAGGCCCUUUGAUCUGGAGUGUUCCAUUGUUAAUGUGUGAGCAGAUGUUGACCUGCAUUAAGCACAAAGAUCAAAAAAACAAAAGAGUUAAAUGGCAGGCGAGCUUUGCAGAAAGCUUCAAUGGUAUCCAACUGGUUCUUUGGACUUGCUCGGCAUGAGAAGUAACUAGUAAAUUAAGUUCCAGGGUCAUUUGCUCCUUGACUACUUUGCAGCUAGCUGUUCUCUUUCUUUUCUUUUUCACAAAUUGCAUCAAGUUGUUAAAAAAGUAAAAUGAUAACCUUGCAUUCAUUUUGCUAAAAGCACCACAAUCCCAUCUGUGUGUGUAGGUUCUGGGGAUGCAGCUGGGGGAGAAGCCUGUCUGGCUACUUUUGGAGCUGAAAUGUGAUUCUUAUCAGCAAAAGAAAGGGCAAAUUAAUUCCUUGAUGGAAAGCAGCCAGUCUUCUUAGCAAGCUGGCCACAUCUUCAUUAUAACUUGUUGCUUAGGGGCUGGCUAAUGACGCUGUACUCUGAGAAUUCCAGGAGGAGAGUCAUGUUCUCAGAAAGAUUCAGAUCCACUUUUCUGAACACCCAGUUCCUUAGAGUGCAGUUGACUGUAGGCUACUAGACUUCAGCAUGUCCAGUAACUAUUUUUAAACGGUAGUGAUAAUCAAUUACUGUUUUGUCUUAAUAUGUAUCAGAACUGAAACAGCAGUCCAUUUUGGUUAAAUCCACACUCCAUCACCAGUGGUACAACUAGCAACAGUUAGAUAGAGCCCACUACUGACGGUGAGUGACAGUGAUCCCAGAUUCGAUGGCAUCCCCUCCCUAUAUAAUGCAAUCUCAUGAAAUGUAGGAGGACACUUUUCAUAGUUGUUGGUAUACAUUAGGGGAAGCAGAACUGUUAGAAGUGUUUAUAGCAGUUUUUUGGGGUCUAUUAUCUUUGCAGUUUUGGUGAUCAUUAGGUAAAGAUUGACUGGAGUCUUCAUGCCAAGUGUUCUGGAGAAGUUCGGUCUAGACACUGCUGUUUCUCAGUAAUGCUGAAAAGUUCUCCACAGCCUUCCCUGCUAUCUUUCUGGACUUUGGCCCUUUCUAGAAGGGGGAGAGCUGUGAGUUCACUCAGGGGCAAGAAUUCACAUGGUUCCUUGUAAUAUUUAACAGCUGUGUCAAAAAUGAACAAAGGGUAAGGGCAAACUCAAAAUCCAUCCACAUUUUAUUUAUUUUGUAAGUUUUCCUCUGAGGCAGGACAGGCAGGGUCUGUGGAUAAGCCUCCAAGCCUAACUCAUCUUUUCUAUGUGCCGUAGAUUAUGUGCAGUGCUGAUUCCUCACCAAGGGUUCCCAGCUGAGGGUUCCCAGCCAGGCUAUCACUCACAUUAUCCAGCUAUCAACCCAUAUAAGUUUCUGAAAGCCAAUCGAGGGAAUUAUAAAAUGCUUUGCCAGAAACUCGCAAGCGCCACUGCCAUUCGUGCAGAGCUAUGAUUGUGAAAGCGGGGCAUGGAGCAAGAAAGGCCGUUAGUGUGCUGUGUCAUCACUGAGGGGGUCUGAAGACCUGCAAGGUCAAUGUGGUCACUGUGUAAAGACUCUUAAGUACUUUCUCAGAUUUCAUUACAGCCUUGCACUUUUAUAUUUUUCUCAGAUUCCAUCCCAAACUGUUAGGGAUCAAUUCUGCUAAAACUCUUUCCUUUGUUAACGGUUUUAGACGGCCUGCUAUAGCAUGAAAUGAUGAAAUAUGCAUGUCUGAAGAAUUGAAAGUGCUCACAAGCCAUCAGUACAAAUGUCUUGCUUGUAAAUGAUGAAUUCUAAGCGGGAAAUCAUGAUAUUAUUUCAAGGAACUCUGACUGCUCUCCUCUCAGUCUGACAUGGAUGUGUCUGGGUGCCUAUGAAUGAAGCAUACAAUCUUGUUAUAAAAGCAAAAUAAACCAGGGAUAUAGCUUAGCAGUGUAGCGCCCACCUGGCAAGUGCAAGAUUCUGCAUUCAAUUCCUGGUACCAAUAAAUAAACAAAUAAACAAAAUGAAUCAGAGAAGCUUCCAAGCAUCAGAAUAUCUUCUGGAGUCAGCAUACAAUAAAUUCAUGUUCAUCUUUACAUAGGGUUCAGUACAUAAUAGUUCCUUCAGUCUCCCUAAAGUGUGUAAAUCAAGACUUAUGCUUACCAUGCUUAAGGACACUGAGAACAACCCAAGACAAAGCACCAUCCAGGGAGGUUAUUUAAAGCACACAAAGACAUUACAGGUCAUAAUGAUGGUGGUUACCUCUCAACUCAGACCAGCCAAGGCGUGGGCCACUGGACUGCCAAGCGGGUGCUGCAAGUGUCAACUAGGUUCUUGGAAGCUGGUUACCUCCUUUCACCAUUCAGUCUUUGUUAACUUUCUUCCCUAAUUUUUGCAGGACUAUUUUCCACUGAGCUGGACUUUUGUUUCCAGCUUCCAUCCCUGAUCUCUUUCUAUAAGUUCAGAGCUAACUGAACAUUUUUGUUGUGCCUAUACAGCCAGAUAGCUAUAACUUAUACAGCCAGAUAGCUCAAACUUCCACCAAGUGAGGUCUUAACACUGCUCAGAUACCAACUAUUUCAAAGAAAGAGACAUUAUGGUAGCUACUAUUAAUAUCCAUUUGUUUUGUUGGAAGUGCUGUGUUGCUUACAUUGUUCUGUUCUGAUCGUCUUUGUUCUGUCCUCUUUUGUCUUAAUCUCUUUAAAAUAAAAAAACACUGCUCAGAUCUUCUCUUUGACCCUACUUCUGAUGAUGAUUGGAUCAGUUUUGAUCUUCUUUCCUGCCAUUUAAUGAUUUUUUCGCAGUCUUUUCUCGCAAGUAAAAGUUUCUAUCCCAGCAUGGCCUACACCAAGCCAUGUGUGAGAGCAAGGAUUGUGCUUCAUACACAAAGGAAAAGAUGGUUCCCAACAGCAUUGGCCAUCUGGUAUUUCAGAUAUUCUUCUUGAUGAGAGGUUGUAGAAGAUAAUCACAAAAUUUCUGUUUAGAGUAAGCAUGAGAAAAAUGUCUUUCACAGUUUACUAUACUAUAGGACAGCAAUGUGUUGUUCAAGUUAUGUAUUAGCUGAUUUAUAUUCCUGUCUAAUAAUAAAACACUUGAAUUAGAUGUAUUCAGUGGGUAGAGAACAAUAGAGCUCAAAACAUUUUUCAGUAAUGGCUGUUAAAUUAUUCCAUUGUUUAGAAUACCAAGAGAAUCUGACUCUAGUUACAGUUUGUCAAUAAUCAGAUGGUCUAUCCCUAUACAUAUAACAAUAUAUAUUGUUACAUAUAACAAUAAAUGUUGUUUUUCUACCAAAGGCUCUUGGUGAUUACAUCAAAAGUUUGAAGCCAGGUGUGCUGGUACAAUUGCAGUACUCAGGAGGCUGAGGCAGGAGGCUUGCCAUAAACUCAAAGCCAGCCUAGACUACAUAGUGAGUUCAAGGUCAGCCUGAACUACAAUAUAAGGCCUUCUCUCAAAAAACAAAAACAAAACAAGCAAACAAACAAACAAAAAACACUUUUAAAUGGAACAUGUAGGAAAACAAAGUCCAUAAUUAAUACACAACUAUGUUACUUAUUAUUCAAACUGGUACACUUUCAAGAGUAAAAGAGUUUGCUAUUAAUAAUUAUGCUGAGGCAGCCAGUAUAAAUGCGUGACUAUGUAGUCACUGUAAAUUUUAGUAAGAUUAAAAGUCACGUAUUUGCAUUGCACAAGCACUCUGCAUGUGAGGAUCGUGGGGCCUUUGCCACAUUUUUGGUAAGAUGCAUGUGGUAAUGUAUGCCUAUAAUUCCAGUACCCAGGAAGCUGAUGCAGGAGACUCACCAUGAAUUGAAGGCCACCCUGGACUAUAAAGUUAGAUCCUGUCUCAAAAAAAAAGUGAGGGAGAUGACUCGGUGGCAGAGUACUUACUUGAAUUGCAUGAGUGCGUGAGAUCAUGGGUUCAAUUCCCAGCACCAUAAAGAAAAAAAGGGAGAGAGAGAGAGAGAGAGAGAGAGACAGAGACAGAGACAGAGAUAGAGCUUCUUGGUAAGCUCUUUGCAGUGAGGCUCUGUCCCUCCUGCAUUUUUACUGCCUCUGCAGGGCCUAUUAUGUAUUGACCAUACCAGUUCCUCAAAAAUCUAUUCUAAAUAAAAUAAUUGAUAAUCAGAAAUUUAGUCUUUACAUUAUUUCCAAAUAAAAGAUAUUCUAAAUCAAUAAUUCAUGUUUCCAAUUGUAUCUGAAGGUUUCUGAAGCACCCAAGUAUUAAAGAUCGUACCCCAAUUCUGUUCAAAUUGCUGCAUUUUUUCCCACUAUGCAUCUCUGAGUGCAGGCCAUCUGCAUUCAGAUGUUGGGUGUACAAUUUAGUACACCCAAGAGUGCUGUUUAGACAGCAAUAGUGAACUAAUCUCUUUGAAGAGGACUUCAUACUUGGUAUCAAAUAAGUAGCAGUCGCCUGUAAUACCAACAUUCAAGGAGACUGAGGUAGGAGGAUCAUUGUGAAUUCAAGGUCAGCCUGGGCUAUACCUAAACUACGGAGUGAAAUUCGGUCUCUAGGGCCUGGGGAUUUAGCUCAGCGGCAUAAGCGCCUUCCUUGCAAGUGUGUGGUCGUGAGUUCCAUCCCUGGUACCGAUAAAAACGAAAAAGACCAAAAAAAAAAAAAAGAAAUUCGGUCUCUAAAAGAGAAGAAAACAAAACAAACAAAAAACACCCAAACAAAAAUGCUUCUGAUAAAGACCUAUAGAUGACAAAUUUCAUCCAAUCUUGUCCUUUGAUACUUACCUGUUAAUAUUCAGUGUGACAAAACAGGAAGUAUGCAGAGAGCCUUCUCCCUGGCUGCUAAGUGGUGGGGGUGAUCACAAGCAAAAGCAUUCAGCAGUUGUUUCAUUUGCAAAUGGAACUAUAGUGGGACAGUGUUUUUCAAAAAAAGUGACUGACAGACAAGCAAUAGUUAUUCAGAAUUGUGUGUUUGACCGAUAUCCAAAAAUAGAUGAAGUGAACUUGGUACUUCAAAUAAAACAAUAAACCACGCUUCUUGACAAUGGUAAAACUUGAGCUUUUAGAGUGAAAGCAUAUUUCUGCCGUAAUGAACUUGACAAGAUCCCGAUAUUUGAAAUAUUUCUGGAAAGAUUGGCAGUGAUAUUAAUGAAUGUGAUUUUGUGCUGUGAGAUUAUAAAAUAUAUCAACAUUUGGGAUAUACAUAUAUACAUAUAACAUAUAUACAUAUAUAUACAGGGGAUAUACAUAUAACAUAAACAUAUAUAUACAUGGGAUAUACAUAUAUACAUAUGUAUAUAUACACUCUGUUUUCCAAAUGAUUAAUCCAUGAUGCUAUAAAACCAUACUUGGAUAAAUGAUUCAUUCAAAGUGCAAGAUAGACUACUACAUUUUAAUGUAACAAUGUAGGAAGCUUUAUUGUUGGGACUUCAAAUUCUGUAUUUCAACCAAUGUUUCAGAGUUGAGUUUUAGUGUAGUCAGAGAAGAACAUUCACAAUUAUCUGGAAAAGCUAUUAAAAUAUUCUUUCUUUUCCAACAUGUUUGUAUGAGACUAAAUUUUCUUGUAUACUUCAACUAAAAUAAUACUUUGCAAACAAAUUGAUUAGAGAACCAAAUAUGCGAACCUAAUUAUCUUCAAACAUUAGAGAUUUACAAAUUUUAUAAAGCAACGCCAUUAUUUCCUCACCAAAAUUGUUUUUACUUUCAUAAAAUACAUAAUUAUUUGUGUUAAAUACAAUGGAUUUACAAAUGAAUUAGAUCAUCAUUUGUUUAUUUUUAAAAUUUAGGAUGUAUUUCUAAUGCAUAGACACUUUUCUUGAUGUGUAAAUAUCAAUAUAAUGAGGGCUUCAAGUAAUUUUUUUUUUGUACCAGAGAUGGAACUCAUGACCUCUUGCUUGCCAGGCAGGUGCUUGUGCUGCUGAGCUAUAUCCUCAACCUGCAAGUAAUUUUUAAAAGUGCAAAGUUGGGCUGGGGAUUUAGUUGCUUAGUGGCAUAAGCGCCUGCCUUGCAAGCAGGCAGUCGUAAAUUCAAUCCCUGAUACCAAUAAAAAAGAAAAAGACAAAAAAAAAAAAAAAAGUGCAAAGUUGUAGGCUAGGGAUUUAGCUCAGUAGCUUAAGCACUUGCCUGGUAAGUGCAAAGUCAUAAGUUAGAUCCCUGGUCCAAACACAAACAAACAAAUAAAGCAGUAUAAAGUUGCCAGAAAUCAAAGUCUUGGGGUUGCUUAGUCAUGGUAUAUUAAUAAAAUCUAUUCUAUACAACAUGGGAAAAAAUGAAAUAAAUUUACAGAGGCUUAUCUGGAAUUCACUCCAUUAUACAUUGUUAAGUGAAUGAAAUAAGUUACAUUGUAACACAUAUAGUAUGCUUCCAGUUGUAUUAAAAAGGGAAGAAUAAAAAUGUAUAAUACUAUGGCUAUGUAUACACAUAUACCUAUUACUAUUAAUAUAUGCAUUAUAUUUAUAUAUAAUGUACAUAUUAUUAUAAGUAAAUUGUGGUGACAUCUGGUACAGUAGCCUGAGAUUUAGCUAGCUGGGGGACUAACUUUCCAUGGUAUCUCUUCUUGCAUUUUAAAAUCUUUUGCAAUGGAUUCAUGCUAUUAAGAAAAUUAUUUCAUAAUUUCUAAAAACCAAAAAUCAUGCAAAAGUGAUGAAUUAUGUAAUAUGAGAUGAAAAUAUUCAAUAGAACAGAAUUCGUAAUGGAGGCUAGGUAUAGUAACACUAAUUUCCCAACUUUGACUCAUUAUCCAUUAAAAGGAAUAUUUACAAUCUAGGUAUGGUUGGGCUUGCCUGUAAUCCCAGUAGUCAGGAAAGCUGAGGCAGGAUGAUCAGAAAUUUGAGCUCAACCCAGGCAAAUUAAAAAGAGGUGGAGAUGUAUGUAGCUCAGUGUGAAGGCUCUGGGUUUAGUCUCCAAUAAAAUCGAAAAACAAAAAAAUCAUUUAUGUGCGCAGUUUUAAAUUUUAACUCCAACCACAGCAAAUCAGUACUUUUUGUCCUGCUUCCUAUCUUUCUGCAAAUAUUUAUUUUUCUCUAGCAUUAAGCAAUUCUACUGGCAGCACUGUUUUGUAAAUUGGAAUGGCAAAACUUCUCAGGCAGGAAAUGUCUCUUCUCUCUGGGUUCAGUUUAUUGGAAAGAGAAAAAAAAAGACUACCAAAUAUGAAGGACAGAAAAAGAUAAGGAUUGUGGGCAGAAAUUACCAAAAAAAAAAAAAUAAGGGAAAAAUUAAGACAGGGAAAGGGCUAUGUGGCCGUGGGAGGGGAGGGAGGAAAGAAGGAGAAAGCUGGAAAGACACCAGAGGAGGAGGAGCUGAGUUUCCACAGGGCCAGAGAGUAGGCAGAGCCAGGGGAGCUGGAGUGGGACAGAAAAACCCGGCCUGCUGAAGAGAAGCAGCUCCUCCGCCAGUGCCUGGGAGAUUGCUGACUGUGGUUGGGUCGGGAAGGAAAAUGUGCCAAGUGAAAUUCGGGGGAAACUGGGAAACUGAAUGGGACCUGCUGCUUCCACCAGAGGCCAGGGAGGGUAUUUUGAUUUACACGAGGCGCUUUCUUUUUAGAUAUAAAUUCUAGGUAGUUCCCAGACACCAACGAUGGAUCUCUUUAACUCUCUGCCCCUGGGUCGCCUCUGGGAAGCAGAGGGCAGAUAGCACAGAAGAGAGGGCUGCGAUGGAUGGACGAAGAACAGCAACAGAGAAAUCUGUGACUCCUUGUCCAGUGAGGAGGAGAGAGCACAGAGAGUCCUUUAUCUCAGCGCAGCUGGAGACUGCACCCCGAGUCCCCAGCUGAGCGUCACCCCUGCUGCUCCUGACCCAGACAGUCCCUGACAAACAGGGAACCACCCACCAGCUCUGGACGGUGGCCAGCGGCUGUGAGACUGAGACGUGGGAGAAUCCCCUGCUCUGACGUACAGGAAGGAUGCUUGAAAUAGAAGCAAAAGCAGAAAUUCCAGACUCCAUAGGAAACGCCAAGGGAACCUCUGUGGCUGCCAGUGGGGCCCCACUUGUUACUGUACUGAAUAAUUUGGAAGGAAGGGAAUUUAACAAUAUUCACUUCCUCAAAGCGUACCUUCCUUAAGCGAGUGUUCUGCUUACGAGAUGUCAGAUGUCUGAGUGAAAAUGUCAAAGUAAAUCUUCCCAUGAUUUUUCUUACAAAACAAAUAAAACUUGUACCAACUGACA